rnacentral:rRNA from 1 species
GACGAACGCUGGCGGCGUGCCUAAUACAUGCAAGUAGAACGCACAGUUUAUACCGUAGCUUGCUACACCAUAGACUGUGAGUUGCGAACGGGUGAGUAACGCGUAGGUAACCUGCCUGGUAGCGGGGGAUAACUAUUGGAAACGAUAGCUAAUACCGCAUAAUAUUAAUUAUUGCAUGAUAAUUGAUUGAAAGAUGCAACUGCAUCACUACCAGAUGGACCUGCGUUGUAUUAGCUAGUAGGUGAGGUAACGGCACACCUAGGCGACGAUACAUAGCCGACCUGAGAGGGUGAUCGGCCACACUGGGACUGAGACACGGCCCAGACUCCUACGGGAGGCAGCAGUAGGGAAUCUUCGGCAAUGGACGAAAGUCUGACCGAGCAACGCCGCGUGAGUGAAGAAGGUUUUCGGAUCGUAAAGCUCUGUUGUAAGGGAAGAACGGGUGUGGGAGUGGAAAGUUCACACUGUGACGGUAUCUUACCAGAAAGGGACGGCUAACUACGUG